rnacentral:rRNA from 1 species
UGGAUCCAGACUUUGAUUCUGGCUCAGGACGAACGCUGGCGGCGUGCCUAACACAUGCAAGUCGAACGGAGCACUGUGGAUAGAGACUUCGGUCAAUUGAAACUUUGACUUAGUGGCGGACGGGUGAGUAACGCGUGAGGAACCUGCCUUUCAGUGGGGGACAACAGUUGGAAACGACUGCUAAUACCGCAUAAUGUUUUCGGACCGCAUGGUCUGGAAACCAAAGCUUUAUGUGCUGAAAGAUGGCCUCGCGUCUGAUUAGAUAGUUGGUGGGGUAACGGCCCACCAAGUCAACGAUCAGUAGCCGGACUGAGAGGUUGAACGGCCACAUUGGGACUGAGAUACGGCCCAGACUCCUACGGGAGGCAGCAGUGGGGAAUAUUGGGCAAUGGGGGAAACCCUGACCCAGCAACGCCGCGUGAAGGAAGAAGGCUUUCGGGUUGUAAACUUCUUUUACCAGGGACGAAGGACGUGACGGUACCUGGAGAAAAAGCCACGGCUAACUACGUGCCAGCAGCCGCGGUAAUACGUAGGUGGCAAGCGUUGUCCGGAUUUACUGGGUGUAAAGGGCGUGUAGGCGGGGCUGCAAGUCAGAAGUGAAAUCCAUGGGCUUAACCCAUGAACUGCUUUUGAAACUGUGGCUCUUGAGUAUCGGAGAGGCAGGCGGAAUUCCUAGUGUAGCGGUGAAAUGCGUAGAUAUUAGGAGGAACACCAGUGGCGAAGGCGGCCUGCUGGACGACAACUGACGCUGAGGCGCGAAAGCGUGGGGAGCAAACAGGAUUAGAUACCCUGGUAGUCCACGCUGUAAACGAUGAAUACUAGGUGUGGGGGGACUGACCCCCUCCGUGCCGCAGUUAACGCAAUAAGUAUUCCACCUGGGGAGUACGAUCGCAAGAUUGCAACUCAAAUGAAUUGACGGA